ensembl:snoRNA U3 Small nucleolar RNA U3
AAGACUAUACUUUCAGGGAUCAUUUCUAUAGUUUGUUAUUAGCUGGUUUCUUUACCUUUUGGAAUGAUCAAGUAAAAUAAGGAAAGAUAAAGGAUCAAUCUGU